rnacentral:rRNA from 1 species
AACCUACGCUGGCGGCACGCCUAACACAUGCAAGUCGAACGAAGUACCAAUACUUACUGGCAGACGGGUGAGUAACAUGUAGGUAUCUGCCCUUUGGCCUGGAAUAACACGAGGAAACUUGUGCUAAUACCGGAUAAGUCUUUACGGAGAAAGCUUUAUGCACCAAUGGAUGAGCCUGCAUUUGAUUAGUUUGUUGGUGGGGUAAUGGCCUACCAAGGCUGUGAUCAAUAGCUGAUUUGAGAGGAUGAUCAGCCACAUUGGGACUGAGACACGGCCCAAACUCCUACGGGAGGCAGCAGUGGGGAAUCUUGCACAAUGGAGGAAACCCUGAUGCAGCGAUGCCGCGUGAGUGAAGAAGGCCUUUGGGUUGUAAAGCUCUUUCGUCGGGGAAGAAAAUGACUGUACCCGAAUAAGAAGGUCCGGCUAACUUCGUGCCAGCAGCCGCGGUAAUACGAAGGGACCUAGCGUAGUUCGGAAUUACUGGGCUUAAAGAGUUCGUAGGUGGUUGAAAAAGUUGGUGGUGAAAUCCCAGAGCUUAACUCUGGAACUGCCAUCAAAACUUUUCAGCUAGAGUUUGAUAGAGGAAAGCAGAAUUUCUAGUGUAGAGGUGAAAUUCGUAGAUAUUAGAAAGAAUACCAAUUGCGAAGGCAGCUUUCUGGAUCAUUACUGAUACUGAGGAACGAAAGCAUGGGUAGCGAAGAGGAUUAGAUACCCUCGUAGUCCAUGCCGUAAACGAUGUGUGUUAGACGUUGGAAAUUUAUUUUCAGUGUCGCAGCGAAAGCGAUAAACACACCGCCUGGGGAGUACGACCGCAAGGUUAAAACUCAAAUGAAUUGACGGGGACCCGCACAAGUAGUGGAGCAUGUGGUUUAAUUCGAAGAUACGCGCAGAACCUUACCAACACUUGACAUGUUCGUCGCGACUUUAAGAGAUUAAAGUUUUCGGUUCGGCCGGACGAAACACAGGUGCUGCAUGGCUGUCGUCAGCUCGUGUCGUGAGAUGUUGGGUUAAGUCCCGCAACGAGCGCAACCCUCACUUUUAGUUGCCAUCAUUAAGUUGGGCACUCUGAAAGAACUGCCAGUGAUAAGCUGGAGGAAGGUGGGGAUGACGUCAAGUCCUCAUGGCCCUUACGUGUUGGGCUACACACGUGCUACAAUGGUAUCUACAACAGGAAGCAAGACUGCGAGGUCAAGCAAAUCCUCAAAAGAUACCUCAGUUCGGAUUGCACUCUGCAACUCGAGUGCAUGAAGCUGGAAUUACUAGUAAUCGUGGAUCAGCGUGCCACGGUGAAUGCGUUCCCGGGUCUUGUACACACCGCCCGUCACACCAUGGGAGUUGGUUCUACCUUAAGGCAAGGUUUAAAACCCCUGACCACGGUAUAGUCAGCGACUGGGGUG